GACCGCACCAGCAUGGGGUCGAGCGUUAGACAGGAGCUUGCAUCUGUGAUUAGUGCCGAACGGGUGAGUAACACGUGAGUAACCUGCCACUGACUCUGGGAUAAGCGUUCCAAACGACGUCUAAUACUGGAUACGACUUCCCGCCGCAUGGCCUGGUGGUGGAAAGAUUUUUUGGUAGGGGAUGGACUCCCGGCUUAUCAGCUUGUUAGUGAGGUAAUGGCUCACCUAGGCGAGGGCGGGUAGCCGGCCUGAGAGGGUGACCGGCCACACUGGGACUGAGACACGGCCCAGACUCCUACGGGAGGCAGCAGUGGGGAAUAUUGCACAAUGGGCGAAAGCCUGAUGCAGCAAGCCUGCGUGAGGGAUGACGGCCUUCGGGUUGUAAACCUCUUUUAGUAGGGAAGAAGCGAAAGUGACGGUACCUGCAGAAAAAGCACCGGCUAACUACGUGCCAGCUGCCGCGGUAAUACGUAGGGUGCAAGCGUUGUCCGGAAUUAUUGGGCGUAAAGAGCUCGUACGGGCUUUGUCGCGUCUGCUGUGAAAUCCCGAGGCUCAACCUCGGGCUUGCAGUGGGUACGGGCAGACUAGAGUGCGGUAGGGGAGAUUGGAAUUCCUGGUGUAGCGGUGGAAAGCGCAGAUAUCAGGAGGAACACCGAUGGCGAAGGCAGAUCUCUGGGCCGUAACUGACGCUGCGGAGCGAAAGCAUGGGGAGCGAACAGGAUUAGAUACCCUGGUAGCCUAUGCCGUAAACGUUGGGCGCUAGAUGUAGGGACCUUUCCACGGUUUCUGUCUCGUAGCUAACGCAUUAAGCGCCCCGCCUGGGGAGUACGGCCGCAAGGCUAAAACUCAAAGGAAUUGACGGGGGCCCGCACAAGCGGCGGAGCAUGCGGAUUAAUUCGAUGCAACGCGAAGAACCUUACCUAGGCUUGACGUACACCGGAAACGGCCAGAGAUGGUCGCCCCCUUGUGGUCGGUGUACAGGUGGUGCAUGGUUGUCGUCAGCUCGUGUCGUGAGAUGUUGGGUUAAGUCCCGCAACGAGCGCAACCCUGGUUCUAUGUUGCCAGCGGGUAAUGCCGGGGACUCAUAGAAGACUGCCGGGGUCAACUCGGAGGAAGGUGGGGAUGACGUCAAAUCAUCAUGCCCCUUAUGUCUUGGGCUUCACGCAUGCUACAAUGGCCGCUACAAAGGGCUGGCAUACCGUAAGGUGGAGCGAAGCCCAAAAAGCCGGUCUCAGUUCGGAUUGAGGUCUGCAACUCGACCUCAUGAAGUCGGAGUCGCUAGUAAUCGCAGAUCAGCAACGCUGCGGUGAAUACGUUCCCGGGCCUUGUACACACCGGCCGUCAAGUGAUGAAAGUCGGUAACACCCGAAGCCGGUGGCCUAACCCUUGUGGAAGGAGCCGUCGAAGGU
rnacentral:rRNA from 1 species